UAGUUGGUGAGGUAAAGGCUCACCAAGCCUUCGACCUGUAGCUGGUCUGAGAGGACGACCAGCCACACUGGGACUGAGACACGGCCCAGACUCCUACGGGAGGCAGCAGUAGGGAAUAUUGCGCAAUGGGGGAAACCCUGACGCAGCAACGCCGCGUGGAGGAUGACACUUUUCGGAGCGUAAACUCCUUUU
rnacentral:rRNA from 1 species